CGGGCUCUUUCGAGUCUGG
rnacentral:siRNA from 1 species